ACAUGCAAGUCGAACGCGGGUGAGGGGCAACUCUCACCUGAGCGGCGAACGGGUGAGUAAUACAUCGGAACGUGUCCCGUAGUGGGGGAUAACCCGGCGAAAGCCGGACUAAUACCGCAUAUGCUCUACGGAGGAAAGUGGGGGACCCGCAAGGGCCUCACGCCAUGGGAGCGGCCGAUGUCCGAUUAGCUUGUUGGCGGGGUAACGGCCCACCAAGGCGACGAUCGGUAGCUGGUCUGAGAGGAUGAUCAGCCACACUGGGACUGAGACACGGCCCAGACUCCUACGGGAGGCAGCAGUGGGGAAUUUUGGACAAUGGGGGCAACCCUGAUCCAGCCAUGCCGCGUGAGUGAAGAAGGCCUUCGGGUUGUAAAGCUCUUUUGGCCGGAAAGAAAAGGCCGCGGAUAACACCUGCGGCUCUUGACGGUACCGGCAGAAUAAGCACCGGCUAACUACGUGCCAGCAGCCGCGGUAAUACGUAGGGUGCGAGCGUUAAUCGGAAUUACUGGGCGUAAAGCGUGCGUAGGCGGUUCUUUGUGUCCGCUGUGAAAGCCCCGGGCUCAACCUGGGAAUUGCAGUGGAAACUAGAGGACUCAGAAUCUGGCAGAGGGGGGUGGAAUGCCACGUGUA
rnacentral:rRNA from 1 species